rnacentral:rRNA from 1 species
GACAGCAGUAGCCGCGGUAAUACGAAGGGGGCUAGCGUUGUUCGGAAUUACUGGGCGUAAAGCGCACGUAGGCGGAUCGAUCAGUCAGGGGUGAAAUCCCAGGGCUCAACCCUGGAACUGCCUUUGAUACUGUCGAUCUGGAGUAUGGAAGAGGUGAGUGGAAUUCCGAGUGUAGAGGUGAAAUUCGUAGAUAUUCGGAGGAACACCAGUGGCGAAGGCGGCUCACUGGUCCAUUACUGACGCUGAGGUGCGAAAGCGUGGGGAGCAAACAGGAUUAGAUACCCCAGUAGUCCCUGUCUCUUAUAC